CACAAAAACGCGUUUUCCCGACUAAUCCCGAGCCGCCACGUCAUCAGAGACUGGUAUCACAAGUAUAUACUGCUCAGGCCCAAAUCAGGGGUUGACUCUGAUGUACUACCCCAACUAUACCGUUUCUUCGGUAUACAUCCUAAACUUUUUGUCUUUUUUUUAUACACCAUCAAUAAAUUUUUUCUCUAUUAAACAUCACAAACUAUACUUUCUCUUCUAAUUGCAACAUAGCGAUUCUAAAUUGUGAUUAGAUUUACUGAACCGGUAAUCGCGAUUAAAAAACUAUAAUUAGCUUAAGUGAAUCCAAAAUCUACAAUUUUUUUUUGCUAUAAAAAAAAGAGAAGAAAGCCCCAAAAAACCCAUAAUUAAAACCCAUCUUCUUCUUUUACGUAACAAAAAUCCCAAAUCUUAGGGUUUCUCAACUUCAUCACGAGAAUAACUCAUUUCUCUCUUCCUCUCAAUUUCUCUGUUACGUAAUCUACGAAAGAAACAUGGAUGAGAUACAACCCGACAUUGAUAUGGAAGAUGUUUAUAACAAUGGUAGUGAGGAAAACGAAGAUGAGAACAAAAAACAAAAAAAAAAACAAAAAGGAAGGCAAGAAAAAAGAAAAACGAGGGUAAAGCCGAAGAUGAUGAGGAUGAAAUGGACCGGUUUCAGUUUGACGGCAAAAAGGGAUAAAUAAAUUGUAGUUUUUGAGUUUAGUUAAGCUAAUCUUGGUUUUUGAAACGUAAUUACCGGUUUAAUAAAUCUAAUCACAAUUUAGAA